rnacentral:rRNA from 1 species
UUUCCCUAGGACUUUAUGUCCUCUAAAGAGCCGUUCGAGACUAGGACGUUGAUAGGUUGGAUGUGGAAGCAUAGUGAUAUGUGAAGCUGACCAAUACUAAUUGCUCGUGAGGCUUGACUAUACAACACCCA